rnacentral:rRNA from 1 species
AACGAACGCUGGCGGCAUGCCUAACACAUGCAAGUCGAACGAGACCUUCGGGUCUAGUGGCGCACGGGUGCGUAACGCGUGGGAACCUGCCCUUAGGUUCGGAAUAACUCCCCGAAAGGGGUGCUAAUACCGGAUAAUGUCUUCGGACCAAAGAUUUAUCGCCUUUGGAUGGGCCCGCGUUGGAUUAGCUAGUUGGUAGCGUAAAAGCCUACCAAGGCGACGAUCCAUAGCUGGUCUGAGAGGAUGAUCAGCCACACUGGGACUGAGACACGGCCCAGACUCCUACGGGAGGCAGCAGUGGGGAAUAUUGGACAAUGGGCGAAAGCAUGAUCCAGCAAUGCCGCGUGAGUGAUGAAGGCCUUAGGGUUGUAAAGCUCUUUUACCCGGGAUGAUAAUGACAGUACCGGGAGAAUAAGCUCCGGCUAACUCCGUG